rnacentral:rRNA from 1 species
CGUAGGGACCAAGCGUUGUUCGGAUUUACUGGGCGUAAAGGGCGCGUAGGCGGCAAUUCAAGUCAGCUGUGAAAUCUCCGGGCUUAACUCGGAACGGUCAGCUGAUACUGCUUUGCUAGAGUGCAGAAGGGGCAAUCGGAAUUCUUGGUGUAGCGGUGAAAUGCGUAGAUAUCGAGAGGAACACCUGAGGUGAAGACGGGUUGCUGGGCUGACACUGACGCUGAGGCGCGAAAGCUAGGGUAGCAAACGGGAUUAGAUACCCCGGUAGUCCUAGCCCUAAACGAUGAAUACUUGGUGUCUGGAGUUUUUAUCCUCCGGGUGCCGUCGCUAACGUUUUAAGUAUUCCGCCUGGGGAGUACGCACGCAAGUGUG